CCUACGGGAGGCAGCAGUGAGGAAUAUUGGUCAAUGGACGAGAGUCUGAACCAGCCAAGUAGCGUGAAGGAUGACUGCCCUAUGGGUUGUAAACUUCUUUUAUAUGGGAAUAAAACGUUCCACGUGUGGGAUUUUGUAUGUACCAUAUGAAUAAGGAUCGGCUAACUCCGUGCCAGCAGCCGCGGUAAUACGGAGGAUCCGAGCGUUAUCCGGAUCUAUUGGGUUUAAAGGGAGCGUAGGUGGAUUGUUAAGGCAGUUGUGAAAGUUUGCGGCUCAACCGUAAAAUUGCAGUUGAAACUGGCAGUCUUGAGUACAGUAGAGGUGGGCGGAAUUCGUGGUGUAGCGGUGAAAUGCUUAGAUAUCACGAAGAACUCCGAUUGCGAAGGCAGUUCACUGGACUGCAACUGACACUGAGGCUCGAAAGUGUGGGUAUCAAACAGGAUUAGAUACCCUAGUAGUC
rnacentral:rRNA from 1 species